rnacentral:rRNA from 2 species
UAGGGAAUCUUCGGCAAUGGACGAAAGUCUGACCGAGCAACGCCGCGUGAGUGAAGAAGGUUUUCGGAUCGUAAAACUCUGUUGUUAGAGAAGAACAAGGACGUUAGUAACUGAACGUCCCCUGACGGUAUCUAACCAGAAAGCCACGGCUAACUACGUGCCAGCAGCCGCGGUAAUACGUAGGUGGCAAGCGUUGUCCGGAUUUAUUGGGCGUAAAGCGAGCGCAGGCGGUUUCUUAAGUCUGAUGUGAAAGCCCCCGGCUCAACCGGGGAAGGUCAUUGGAAACUGGGAGACUUGAGUGCAGAAGAGGAGAGUGGAAUUCCAUGUGUAGCGGUGAAAUGCGUAGAUAUAUGGAGGAACACCAGUGGCGAAGGCGGCUCUCUGGUCUGUAACUGACGCUGAGGCUCGAAAGCGUGGGGAGCAAACAGG